GGUGUCUUGGCUAAUGUGUCUUGGCUAAGGUGUCUCGGCUAAUGUGUCUUAGCUAAUGUGUCUUGGCUAAGGUGUCUCGGCUAAUGUGUCUUGGCUAAGGUGUCUUGGCUAAUGUGUCUUGGCUAAUGUGUCUUGGCUAAGGUGUCUUGGCUAAUGUGUCUCGGCUAAUGUGUCUUGGCUAAGGUGUCUUGGCUAAUGUGUCUUGGCUCAGGUGUCUUGGCUAAGGUGUCUUGGCUAAUGUGUCUUGGCUAAAGUGUCUUGGCUUAGGUGUCUUGGCUAAUGUGUCUUGGCUAAUGUGUCUUGGCUAAGGUGUCUUGGCUAAGGUGUCUUGGCUAAUGUGUCUCGGCUAAUGUGUCUUGGCUAAGGUGUCUUGGCUAAUGUGUCUUGGCUAAUGUGUCUUGGCUAAUGUGUCUUGGCUAAGGUGUCUUGGCUAAGGUGUCUUGGCUAAGGUGUCUUGGCUAAGGUGUCUUGGCUAAGGUGUCUUGGCUAAUGUGUCUUGGCUAAAGUGUCUUGGCUAAGGUGUCUUGGCUAAUGUGUCUUGGCUAAUGUGUCUUGGAU